AUUGAACGCUGGCGGCAGGCCUAACACAUGCAAGUCGAACGAGUGGCGGACGGGUUAGUAAUGUCUGAGAAACUGCAUGAGGGAGGGGGAUAACUACUGGGAACGGUAGCUAAUACCGCAUACCUUCAGAUGGGACCAGCUGGGAUUGGCUUGUUGGUGGGGUAACGGCUGACAAAGGCGACGAUCCCUAGCUGGUCUGAGAGGAUGCACAGCCACACUGGAACUGAGACACGGUCCAGACUCCUACGGGAGGCAGCAGUGGGGAAUAUUGCACAAUGGGCGCAAGCCUGAUGCAGCCAUGCCGCGUGUAUGAAGAAGGCCUUCGGGUUGUAAAGUACUUUAAGUUGGGAGGCGUUACCCACAGAAGAAGCACCGGCUAACUCCGUGCCAGCAGCCGCGGUAAUAC
rnacentral:rRNA from 1 species